AAAGGAGAAAAUACAUAGCUGUAGAAAUCAGGACCAAAGAAGGAUAUGGGUAGGAAACUAAUAAAGCAAGAAGUGAGCAUAGUAUACCAAAACACAUAUUGCAGACAUAUGGCCCUGCAGAGUUUUUAGAUGUAGGAUAUUAAUUUGGCUUAAAAAUUCCUAGCAGCCGUAACAAAGAUGGAAACCAAACAGGUAUAGAAUUCACUACAUUCACAUUUACAAACAAAGCAACUAUUUAGGGAUACAGCUUUUCUUGACACUCAGCAACAAUAAAUGUUUCCCCAUGGGUUUGGGUAAGGUGGACACUGUGUCAACGUAGAGGAUGAUGCCUUCAACAGCAUCUUUGUGUUAGAUUCCUUUUGUCCUUCAGUGUUAGAUUAUACUGUCCUUCAGUGUCAAGCUGAUGGCUGUACAGCUUGCUCGUGCUCUUGCUUGAUCCAAAGCUUAAAUUUGAAAUGUCUGGGAGAAUUGACAGACUGCAAAUUCUCCAGGCACCUUUCCAUCAGUAUUAUUUUGGGCAAGUGCUUUCUACCUGUCUUAACUCCUAAGAGGCAGUAUAGUGAGUAGUUAAACCUGCAGGCUCUGGAAUCGGACUACCUGAGUUCAAGUCCCAGCUCUGCUAUUAUUACCUUCAGUUUCUUUAUCAUGAAAAAAGGAUAAUACAUACCACAUAGACAUGUUAUCAACAUGACAUGAGGUAAUGCUUUUUAUUAUUUUCUUUUUUUUAAUUCUUCCUAUGUUGCCCUCUCUCUUCUUUCAGUGGUAGGAAGAUUAUCAGAAUGCCCCCAUAAGUCAUUGAUGCUUCUUGCUGAUAUCCAGACAGGAUCCCUUAAUUGAGCUUGACCUCUUAUCCCCCUAGAACGGACAGGUUUUCUAUUUGGCAUCCACAGCAGGCAUUGAAGGGAUAGCCCCAUUUUCCUCCAAACCUGAGUUUUUCAGUUCCCUUCAUUCCGCAUGAUGUGUUCUAACUCCUUUUGUAAAGGAAACUCUGGCUAAUCUACCUUGACCCACCUACAUUCCUGAGAGGCGCAUGGAGUGUAAGGCUUCUUUUGAGAUUCUUGAUAUUCACAUACUGGUAGACCCCCUUAGGGCUAGAGGUUGCAUAUGUGGCCUCAGAGUUCAGUCAGCACAGCAUCACAGUAUUUUGUAAUAAAUGUGAAACCUUUCAGGACACGUGCUCUCUAAUUUCCACUGUUCUCACCAAGGCUUGCGUUCAUGCAGUCAAUAUAGGCAGAGCCACAGUGGAGUUGUGACAUAAAGGAAAAAUCAGUAUGCUAUUGAUCCUGUCUGUAUUUAAAAAAUUGAUAUUUUGGCUGGGAACGGUGGCUUAUGCCUGUAAUCCCAGCACUUUGGGAGGCCGAGACGGGCGGAUCACGAGGUCAGGAGAUCAAGACCAUCCUGGCUAACAUGGUGAAACCCUGUCUCUACUAAAAAUACAAAAAAUUAGCCGGGCGUGUUGGCGGGGCACCUGUAGUCCCAGCUACUCAGGAGAUUGAGGCAGGAGGAUGGCGUGAACCCAGGAGGCGGAGCUUGCAGUGAGCUGAGAUCGCACCACUGCACUCCAGCCUGGGAACAGAGGGAGACUCCGUCUCAAAAAAAAAAAAAAAAAUUGAUAUUUUGUUAAAAAUACAUAGAUUUUUACAUUAAUUUUGUUUUAUUGAAAUGUUAUUUAUCUUGAUCACCAAGUUUUUGGUAUCCCCUAAAAUUUUGCACCUAAGGCCAAUGCCUCACUUUCCUGUAGGGCCCUUGUUCCCUGCCCUGCAUGCAGAUCCAGCGAUUUGCAAUGUCCUGGUUCUCGAAGGUAUUUGAACUCUAGACUCUAAGGCACUUGUUCUCCAAUGCAGGUCUGUGACAAAAUUUUCAUCCAACUGAGGAGAAAUAAGAAAAGGAAGGACAAAUAUUAAAUUUAAAAAAUCAAGCUAAGUUUAAAUAACAUGAUAAUGCCUUUUUAAUUUUUUGAAUUAACAUUUAUUUAAAAAACAGAACCUGCAAAAAUAUUAUUAUUGCUUAAAGUCCUGAUGCUA
rnacentral:lncRNA from 10 species